GUAGAAGCACCAUUUUUGGAUGGAAAAAACCCUUCAGGAAAGUAUACGUAUCACAUGUAACAUGUAGUGUAACAAGUAUGAACAGUAAGGUUUUUACAUACAGUAGUACACAUAUUACAUACGUACAUAACUUUUUUUUACAGGAAUUUCCAACCAAGUUUGAUUAUGUACAUAUGUACAUGUUAUAAACCACUGUACGUAUGGUUACUGUAUGUAACUUACUAAACAUACAUAACAUGACUUAACUUUGAUACUUUUUUGGUACAUUCCAGAAAACCAGGACCCCCUCCAUGAUGCAGGCUAUGGGGCCACAUAAAACUUUGUCCAGGGUUACUACAUAACAUAGCACGACAACUGUAAACUAUGUACUACUGUACUAAAGAACCCCCUGAAUGAUGUAGGCUAUGGGGCCACAUAAGACUUUGUCCAUCCAGGGUUAUAGUGAACGACAAUUUUAAACUAAAGAACCCCCUGAAUGAUGUAGGCUAUGGGGCCACAUAAGACUUUGUCCAUCCAGGGUUAUAGUGAACGACAAUUUUAAACUAAAGAACCCCCUGAAUGAUGUAGGCUAUGGGGCCACAUAAGACUUUGUGCAUCCAGGGUUACGUUGAACGUCAAAUUUAAACUAAAAGUAAGG